rnacentral:lncRNA from 1 species
AAUAAAAAAGCCUUCUUAAUUUUUACUUAAUCAUAUAAAAGUUAUAUUGCUUAGUGAGCUGCACAAAAACUUGCAACGGGCUGCAUGCGGCCCGUGGCCUGCAUGUUGCUGACCCCUGCUUUAAUUAGCACGAUUAUAAUAUUGUUGCAUUAAUUGAAUGAAAUAUAAUUGUGAUUCUAAAUUAAUUUGCAAUAUUUCUUCACAGUAUAUAUCAGUUUUCAUCAAGAUCAGACUUACCCUUAGAAAAUGGCAACCUUCAAACCAAGUGAAGAACACACGUCAUUGUACGUUACUUGACUUUCAUCAUAGAUCAAAGGCAAUGGAUGCAAUAACAGUGUAUAUCGAGGAGCUAUUAAAAUAAGGACCUGUCAGAUGUGGUUUUCGAGAUUUCGUGAGGAUUUUAAUUUAAAAAAAAGAGAGAGAUCUACUUUACUAUAAUAACUCACUACAACACUUCCUGCAGUAUUGGGAUACUAAUUUUAUUGCAAACUUUAAAACAGAACGAACGUUUUCGGCCGUUCGCCAUCGUCAGGUUCCACAUAAAAGCGUUAGAAUUUUAAACAAUAAAUAGAACAUCAGAACAUUUUUAAACUACGUCAUACUACAGUAUUAGCUAAAUACGCGAUUA